AGCCCUUCUAACUCAGGGUAAAAUUUUUUACUUAAACUUGGGGCAUAGCUGCAAAGAGCAGCCUCCCUGGUAGUGCAGGCAGCCUGUUGCCCGUACAGGUUGCCCUAAGAGACCUUGGAGACAACC
rnacentral:snoRNA from 1 species